AUUCAGCCUUCCAGAAAGAGCAUCAAGGAAGGGAAAACGAAACUCAAGCUCGCUCAGGUUGCAGGAAAAGGGAGGGGUGUAGGCUGUAUACCGUGCAGAUUGUAUCCUUCUAUAUUGUGUGAUUAUCAAGACCAGGAUUCCUCUUGGAGUGGAAAUAUAAGCGUCUUGAAGAGUGGUAUUGAAGAAACUUAUGGUUAACUAUCUGCAAAAUUGCUCAAAUCAAAGAGAAAAUUCAAGGCAGCCCAAAAAAUCACAAAAAAUAUGGCAAAGCAAAACAAUGCCAGCAAAUCAGUUUGGGAAAAUGAUGAAAACUCAUCAUGGGAGCCCCCAGCGCCAUCUGCGAAAUACUGUCACCUAUCAGAUGAAGACAAGAAUGUCUUUUUUGGUAUCUUGAAACGUUUACUCCAGGUACCGUACACUCUGCAGGAUGGCCUAUGGGAUGAAACAGAAAAGAAUGGAAAAGUAUUCAAGCUGAUUUAUGGGAGAAAAGGCUGCAAGGUUAGUUGUGAGUGCAAAGGCAUUAAAAGUAGUAUGGUAGUGGCUUCGCUGGAUAUCUACCUCCUAUGGCGUGGAGACUAUAGAGAAGAGCUAAGCCUGAAAAAUCUCCAAACUGUGCAGAAUGAACUCAAGGCCCUUGGAGUUCAGGAUGAAAAAGUGCAUGCUUGUUUUUCUAUGGCGAAGCAUAGAUUUGUUCAAGAAAGUCCAGACAUUCAGAAAAAUGCCACCCUGAGCAUAUUUGAUGAAGUUAUUCUGAACUUUGGUCGGGGUUGCUUGAAAGAGAUUAUAGUUAUGUAUGAUGAAAAGGAGAGUACCCCUGUCUGUUACUGUAAAUAGCAUGACAAUGCCCAAGGCAUUUGAGUCCAUUUCCACUGUUCUCUUACAGCCACCUCUCUGUCUGCUCUUCCCAACAGACUUAUUUGUUAACCUUCUAAUCCUCAAGAUGAGGUGGAAUUGGUGUUUGGUUUUAUGUUUUUUUCUGAAAAUAAAACUGCUUGGUCUGUUAAUAAUGCC